GUGUGGUGUUAACAUCAUGCUUAGCUUUUGAAGUAAGUAGCAUAUACAAAUAAUAAAGUCUCAGUGCUUUGUUAGAAUACCAUCUGAUAGUCCUCAGGGUUUAAAGUAAAUUUUCAGAUGUAAUUAAUGGCUUUGAUUAAUGACAAUGUGUGAGACCCUUGCCAAAAAGUCCAGGUUGAGGUUGGAAGGGAUUGCAGCCAGAAUUUACGGGCAUAGCUGUAUCUCUGUGCUGUUCUUACUGUGUGUCUUUGUUGGAUGGAUGUCUGUUCUAUGGAUGGAAAAACUGAACAUGCACAAUUGCUCUAGGUAUUUAUUAGCAGACCUUUGAAAGUUUCUGGCUAUAAGUUAACCCAGGUAAAAUCUUACAAGUAAUAACCUAAAGAGGACUUCACAUGGAAGAACUGUGCAUGUCAAGUGGCUCAUUAAAGUUGUUUUUCAUGUUUUAAAACUUUC